rnacentral:rRNA from 1 species
GAUGAACGCUAGCGGCAGGCCUAAUACAUGCAAGUCGAACGAGAUUGAGGAGCUUGCUCUUCAUGAAAGUGGCGCACGGGUGCGUAACGCGUAUGCAACCUACCUUAAUCAGGGGGAUAGCCUCUCGAAAGAGAGAUUAACACCGCAUAACAUUAUUAUAUGGCAUCAUAUGAUAAUCAAAUAUUUAUAGGAUUAAGAUGGGCAUGCGUGACAUUAGUUAGUUGGCGGGGUAACGGCCCACCAAGACGAUGAUGUCUAGGGGAUCUGAGAGGAUGACCCCCCACACUGGUACUGAGACACGGACCAGACUCCUACGGGAGGCAGCAGUAAGGAAUAUUGGUCAAUGGGCGCAAGCCUGAACCAGCCAUGCCGCGUGCAGGAAGGCGGCCCUACGGGUUGUAAACUGCUUUUAUACUGGAAUAUACCUACUUACGUGUAAGUAGCUGAAUGUACAGUAAGAAUAAGGAUCGGCUAACUCCGUGCCAGCAGCCGCCGUAAGAC